AUAUGUUAUCAAGUGUCAGGACAAGUUUAUAAUUUUAUGUACUAUGUAAAGGCUGUGUAAUGUGUUUGAUGGGCGCGCGCGUUGAACAUUCGAGGCGCAUUUAAACUGUGGAGGGAGUUACCAUGGAAACGGGGCGGCAACACAGCUGAGAAGUAGCAAAUCUCUCCGUCUCUCACUGUUGUUUUUACUGCUUUCAGGUGUUUGAUUUGUGAGCAUAGCCGCUCGAGGGAGGCUUUAAGACUAAGCGGAAUCCUCUGCCGGCUGGUCGCGCGCUCCCGCUUCACAGCGAGCGGGUCUCGCGCUAACCGAGUUAGGUGUUUUUAAAGUCCGCGUUUCGACUUCAGCUAACAGUUAAUCAGUUUGGGAGAAUGCAAACAACGUGAUUCCAACAUCCAGCCAUGCAAGAAAACGUGCAUUUUACCUGAGGGAAGACAGAAUCAAUAAGGAAAGUCGUCUUUCUUUAAUGUAGAGUUGGAGUGGACCUCUUGUUGAAGAACUUCUCCAGGCACUAUGAACCAUCUGACUAAUGCUGUCAUGAAAAGGCAACUGCUGGACACCUGGGACAGGCCAUCAAUUCCAAGUUGGCGGAACUGAGGUUUCAACUGAAGAAAAA
ensembl:lncRNA